ensembl:lncRNA
AACAUCAUGGAGGAACCUGUCCAUAGUUAGGACUCACUCAGCUCUUUGUGGAUAAUGAGGGGUUAAAGUUUUCCAGAGGACAUACCUCGCCUGCUUUGAGAAGAGGAAGAGGAAGUUAUACUGAGAAUCAUUGACUAAACCUGGACUAAAGUACACAGUUUAGGCCACAUGAUAGAAAAGAGUAUGCAAAGCAAUUCCACAUUUCUGACUGCCAGCUUUGAAGAAGAGAAAAACAUUGACAUGGAUUUCUGAAAUAUUUCUCAUAUAAAUGAAUAACGCAUUAAUAGAAAGUUUAAAGGCUGAUCUGUUUUGACCUGCUUUCCAUUUUGCUGUUUUAUUUCUUUACUUAAUCCAGAAAACUGGCACUUCAUUUCAAGUAACAAUUAUAGAUGUAUCAAGUAAAAACAUUUAUUAUCCACGUGUAAUUUUGCAAUUCAAAUCAUUACAGUUUCUCUUACGCAAAGACUGGAAGAGUUUCUGUCAUAAAAACACUCAUAAAAGGCAACUACAUGCAAAUAAUGCUCAGCAAUUCAAUAAUCAAUCAUUAACUUUCUCUAUAUUUAUUUCUACUUAUUAAGUUGCGUCUUUUAAAUUAAUAUAUAGCAGACUGGAAGUGGAAAGUUUCAUUUUUUCCCUCCUAAAUAACUAGCUAGCCAAUCUUGAGGUAUGUGCACACAGGACUAAAUAAUCAAGGUUUAGACAAAUAUUACACAAUAAAUUAAAACGAUGUCAACAAAAAUAAAAUGAAUAUGUAUUUUAGUAAAACAUUUGUACAUUAAAAGUUGAUUAAACUUCUUGCAUGAAACCAUUCUUAUGGAAACCUGCUGGAAGGAAAUGUCCACGAGCAACAAUAGAAGCUGUGAUCCUUCUACACAAGAAAACCUGAGGGUGACAUCAGUGACUCCACUCCUUUCAGUGUGAAUGCAGGCCAGGAUUUUUUCUCCCUGAAGUCUGUUGACCUGCUGUCUCAUCUGCUUACUCUGCUCACUUACCCAGAGACGCUUAUUGAGAAGCAAUGGUGGAGCUCUGGAUAUCUCCUGAUGGAUUCACAUGCUGUGUGCUGGACUCUGCUUCUGCUGACAUGUUACAAAAAUGUUCUACACUGGGUCACAGGGAGCCUGGAGCCUACCCAGGGGACUUGGGGCAUGAGUGUCAUAUCACAUCAAUUCCGUGACUACAUUUCCCAUCCUGCACUGCGGCCUACGAACAUGGCCGCCAUGGACUACACUUCCCACACACAUGUUCACCUUCUCCGGAAUUCUAAUCACACACACCUGUUGCCAGUCUCACACUUACUCGCUCCACACUAUAUAAGAGACUUUUUGAACACCAUGACUUUGUGAAGUAUUGAGUGUUCUCACCUCACCAAGCAUUUGUACACGUUUCCUUGUUUUGUUUUAUGUUCAUUGAUCUUGCUUCUUGUCCCUCUGUCACAUAUUAAACGUUAUGAAGGUGAGGAUGGAUGCAAGUGCAGAUAAGAGCUUUUAAUAAAGAGAGGCACACAGACAAAUCCAAAUCAUGAGACUAGCAUAUUCAAGAAACAGGCAAUAGACCAGACGAUCUGUAAACAGGCAUGAACUAUGCAAGGUAAGAAUCGUCAAUGAGGAACAAGAAGCAAGAUCAAGACCUGAUGUGCACCAAAUGUUACCAUUUUUAAAUACAAAUUUUAUAAAAAUAUUUAUUACUGUUUGCUGUUAAGUCUUCUAUACCUCUAUACUGUAAUGUACAAAAUCCCACUAUACCAGUAUUGUGACCCAGGAAAGGAUGGAUUAGUUUUUGAGUCUGGUUUUGUCAAGGUUUCUUCCUGAGGUAAUCACAGGGAGUUAUUACUUGCCAUUGUCCCUUCUGGCUUGCUCUUUAGGAAUCUAAAUCUAUAUCCAUAUAUAAGCUGAUUUGUGACAAAGGCUGUUGUUAAAAAACACUAUACAAAAAAAAAAUUAAAAUGAAUUGUAACUUGUUGCUGACUGCCCUGCUACUUCUUUAAGCAAGCUUCAGCUUCUUCAGAAUACAGCAAUGAACAACUUUACUAGGAGAAGAAAGCCAGAACACAUUUCCCUGGUUUUAGCUACACUGGCUGCUUAUUAAGUUUUGCAUUGACUAGAAAGUGGUGUUUUUAGCAAAGAUUUAGCUUCAGUAUACUUCAUAAGUAGUGCUUGAUAAAUCAUUUUUAUAUAAUUUUGAACUAAAAAUGACAUGAUUAUUAGGGGGCCAAGCACUGAAGGUGUUAUCUAAGGAACACCAGAUUUGGGCCAAGUUCUGCCAACACUCUAGCACCACCAUUGUUUAUUGCCAUAAACUUCUAACAAUAUGUCCAAAAUUAAAAGCCAGGCAUCCUUGGAUUUGGAUACAAGAAAUACAGGUAAGCAUUGGAAUAGGUAUAGAAAUUUUGGUAAUACGUUCAUUUUAAUUGCUUCAAUCCUCAAACUAAAACUAAAAAAGGGAAUUAAGUUCCAUCUGGUUAAAUCUUCUUUGAUUUAAUUAGUGGUCCGAAAUUCUUUCUAUGUAUUUUUUCUGUCUUUUGUCAAAUGGACACCUAAGUAUGUAAAUGAUUCUGUAUGCCAUUUUAACGAGUAUGUAUUUUUAAUAUUUUCAGGGGGCUAUAAUUAUAUGGAAUUAUUUCUGUUUUUUCAAUAUUUAAUUGAUAUCCAGAGAGCGGAACAGAACUCUGAAAUUAAGUGUCAGUCCUGAUUCAGGAUUGUACAGCUGAGUGGUGCAGCUCUCCUACACUGCACCCAGAUGAUGCCCCCUGACUAGAUAACAUGCUGUCUUGAUUGUUUUAUAUUCUUUGUCACACUGUUCUUCUGUUUCUGUUUGCCUAUUUUACAGAUAUGACUUGAUAUCUGUUCAGUGUUACUUCAAAUAAAUGUGUUUAAAU